AAAAAGGUACUCAAGGGCGCUAAAUGGAUGCCUAGACGUAUAUUACCGAUGAAGGACGUGGAAGACUGCGAUAAGCCUCGGGAAGCUGUCAACAAGCUUUGAUCCGGGGAUUUCCGAAUGGGGAAACCCAGCAUGGGACAUGCCAUGUUGCCUCGUACUGAACACAUAGGUACGUGAGCGGGAACCAACUGAACUGAAACAUCUUAGUAGGUUGAGGAAGAGAAAGUAAAUAACGAUUGCGAAAGUAGUGGCGAGCGAAAUCGCAACAGCCCAAACCUUUUAAGUUUUGUCUAUUGUUCAAAUACUUUGAACUCGGGUUUUAACGAACGCCGCGCAAGUUCAAAGCUUGGAUCAAUAGACAAUAAGCUGAUAGGCGAAUACUUAUAAGGGGUUGUGAUAUAACAUAUGACCAAGUCAGAGCGUUGAACUUCGGUUCAGCAAUCUGAUUUGCGAUCACUGGCUAUCAACAGUGAGUAAGGUAAGAAAUCGGCGUGGUUAGCAGAAUAAUUUGAAUGAUUAACCAAAGAACGUGAAAGUCGUGUAUGCGAAAACGACGCUGACCUUAUAUAUGUUUUAUCGAGUAGGACGGGGCACGAGAAACCCUGUUUGAAUCUGGCUGGACCACCAGCCAAGGCUAAAUAUAAUAUACGAUCGAUAGUGAA
rnacentral:rRNA from 1 species